rnacentral:piRNA from 1 species
AGGGUCCACAUCACUACAGAUGGUUCCACU